UGGGGAAUUUUGGACAAUGGGCGAAAGCCUGAUCCAGCAAUGCCGCGUGUGUGAAGAAGGCCUUCGGGUUGUAAAGCACUUUUGUCCGGAAAGAAAUCCUUGGCUCUAAUACAGUCGGGGGAUGACGGUACCGGAAGAAUAAGCACCGGCUAACUACGUGCCAGCAGCCGCGGUAAUACGUAGGGUGCAAGCGUUAAUCGGAAUUACUGGGCGUAAAGCGUGCGCAGGCGGUUUGCUAAGACCGACGUGAAAUCCCCGGGCUCAACCUGGGAACUGCAUUGGUGACUGGCAGGCUAGAGUAUGGCAGAGGGGGGUAGAAUUCCACGUGUAGCAGUGAAAAUGCGUAGAGAUGUGGAGGAAAUACCGAUGGCGAAGGCAGCCCCCUGGGCCAAAUACUGACGCUCAUGCACGAAAAGCGUGGGGGAGCAAAACAGGAUUAGAUACCCCUGGUAGUCCCACGCCCUAAAACGAUGUCAACUAGUUGUUGGGGAUUCAUUUCCUUA
rnacentral:rRNA from 1 species